rnacentral:rRNA from 1 species
ACUCCUACGGGAGGCAGCAGUCGGGAAUCUUGUGCAAUAGGGGCAACCCUGACACAGCAACGCCGCGUGAGGGAUGAAGGCCCUAGGGUCGUAAACCUCUGUCGGGAGGGAAGAAUCCUCUGGGGGUGAACAAUCCCCGGAGUUGACGGUACCUCCAAAGGAAGCGCCGGCUAACUCCGUGCCAGCAGCCGCGGUAAU